GGGGAAUCUUAGACAAUGGGGGAAACCCUGAUCUAGCCAUGCCGCGUGAGCGAUGAAGGCCUUAGGGUUGUAAAGCUCUUUCAGCUGGGAAGAUAAUGACGGUACCAGCAGAAGAAGCCCCGGCUAACUCCGUGCCAGCAGCCGCGGUAAUACGGAGGGGGCUAGCGUUGUUCGGAAUUACUGGGCGUAAAGCGCACGUAGGCGGAUCAGAAAGUCAGAGGUGAAAUCCCAGGGCUCAACCUUGGAACUGCCUUUGAAACUCCUGGUCUUGAGGUCGAGAGAGGUGAGUGGAAUUCCGAGUGUAGAGGUGAAAUUCGUAGAUAUUCGGAGGAACACCAGUGGCGAAGGCGGCUCACUGGCUCGAUACUGACGCUGAGGUGCGAAAGCGUGGGGAGCAAAC
rnacentral:rRNA from 1 species